rnacentral:rRNA from 1 species
CAGGGAUUGCCCUAGUAACGGCGAGUGAAGCGGCAACAGCUCAAAUUUGAAAUCUGGCUUCGGCCCGAGUUGUAAUUUGCAGAGGAUGUUUCUGGCGCGGUGCCUUCCGAGUUCCCUGGAACGGGACGCCACAGAGGGUGAGAGCCCCGUAUGGUCGGACACCAAGCCUGUGUGAAACUCCUUCAACGAGUCGAGUAGUUUGGGAAUGCUGCUCUAAAUGGGAGGUAAAUCUCUUCUAAAGCUAAAUACCGGCCAGAGACCGAUAGCGCACAAGUAGAGUGAUCGAAAGAUGAAAAGCACCUUGAAAAGGGGGUUAAAUAGUACGUGAAAUUGUUGAAAGGGAAGCACUUAUGACCAGACUUGGGCCGGGCGGCUCAUCAGGGGUUCUCCCCUGUGCACUCCGCCCGGCACAGGCCAGCAUCGGUUUUCGCGGGGGGAUAAGACCGACGGGAACGUAGCACCCUCCGGGGUGUGUUAUAGCCCGGCGGACGAUACCCUCGCGGGGACCGAGG